GGGGGCGAACUGGUUUCGACCGGAUGGCUAGAAGCGUCUGCGGCGUGCCGUGGUUGGUCGGCUGGCCACGUAAAAAGCCGCCCAAACAGUUAUCUGCUGAAGAUAGCUACGCUCUCGCUGCCUAAUUAGGCCGCGCAGACUGAGAGCCUUCGUCGGAGAGGCUUGAAGGUCUGUCAAUAAUUCCGAAUCGUUCCGGGCCAACCGCAGGGUACUCCCGGAACUAAACAACGUGCCCAGCUAGCUUCGGACGAACCGUGUCGAUGCGGGUCGCCGGGGCGAAGGCGUAAAUGCACUCGAAUACGCACGUAGAUGCAGCCGUGGAAACGUUACGGGACGCGGGUUCGAUUCCCGCCGCCUCCAUAA
rnacentral:tmRNA from 1 species